CUUGGCACCGUUCUUGAUAAGGUACUGGAUGGUGGGGAUGGCGGCGCGGACACGGGUGUCGUCGGUGAUGUUCUGGUUGUCGUCGAGCGGGACGUUGAGGUCGGCGCGCACGAACACGCGCUUCCCCUCGAGGUCGGCGGCGGUGAGGUCCCCGACGCUCUUCUUCGCCAUGGUGGCGACGGCGCGCGUCCCGCGCGAGGACGACGACGCCGCCUGCCGGCACCGCGACGCGACGUGGGUCGCCAGCCGCGGGUCCGCGGCCGCCGCGAACGCCAGCGACCGCGCCGGCUGGCACCCGGCCGCCAGCCCCCCGCGCCGUAGCGGCGACGCGGCGGCGGGCCCCACCGCCGCGGCGCGCCUGGCGGCGAGGGAGAGCGAGGACGUGGUCGGCGCGGCCGCGGACGCCAUUGGGGGAGGACGAGGGAGCGCGCGCGGAGGCUGGAACGCGGAGAAGGUGGGAGGCGGGAGG
rnacentral:lncRNA from 1 species